AUAGCUUCUUGGCCUUUUGGCUAAGAUCAAGUAUAGCAUAAACAUCUGCUCUAGUUUUAAAUGCUUUAACAUCAUUGUUGGGAAUUUACCUUUUUUUUUUUUUUUUUGAUUUUGGGUUAUAUCUGGUGGCACUCAAGGGUUACUCCUGGUUCUGCACUCAGAAAUCACUCCUGGCAGGCUUGGGGGACCACAU